AGAGCGAACGCUAGCGGCGGGCCUAACACAUGCAAGUCGAGCGCAUACCUUCGGGUAUGAGCGGCGGACGGGUGAGUAACACGUAGGUAAUCUGCCCUGUGGUGGGGGAUAACUCGGGGGAAACCCGUGCUAAUACCGCAUAUGGCCUUCGGGUCAAAGCCUUCGGGCGCCAGAGGAUGAGCCUGCGUCGCAUUACCUAGUUGGUGGGGUAAAAGCCUACCAAGGGGACGAUGCGUAGCUGGUCUGAGAGGAUGAUCAGCCACACUGGGACUGAGACACGGCCCAGACUCCUACGGGAGGCAGCAGUGGGGAAUAUUGCGCAAUGGGGCGAAAGCCUGACGCAGCUACGCCGCGUGGGUGAUGAAGGCCUUCGGGUUGUAAAGCUCUGGUCGGGAGGGACGAAGUUCUGACGGUACCUCCCAAGAAAGCACCGGCUAACUCGCGCCAGCAGCCGC
rnacentral:rRNA from 1 species